CGCGUAGGCGGCAUUGCAAGUCAGAUGUGAAAGCCCCGGGCUUAACUCGGGAAUUGCAUCUGAAACUGCUUUGCUUGAGUCCUGGAGGGGGUAGUGGAAUUCCCAGUGUAGCGGUGAAAUGCGUAGAUAUUGGGAGGAACACCAGCGGCGAAGGCGGCUACCUGGACAGUGACUGACGCUGAUGCGCGAAAGCUAGGGGAGCGAACGGGAUUAGAUACCCCGGUAGUCCUAGCCGUAAACGAUGGGCACUUGGUGUCGGGGGUAUUGAGUCCCCCGGUGCCGGAGUUAACGCGAUAAGUGCCCCGCCUGGGGAGUACGGUCGCAAGACUGAA
rnacentral:rRNA from 1 species